rnacentral:tRNA from 1 species
GCCCGGGUGGUGAAACUGGUAGACACAAGAGACUUAAAAUCUCUCGACCGGUUCGAUUCCGGCCCCGGGCACCA